rnacentral:lncRNA from 10 species
GCAGUUUCUUUAGCUGUCAUAUGCAGACAAGUACUACCCACCUCGCCUUUGGAGUGAGCAGCAUCCCUGUGCCCAUCCUGCUGUGAUUCAGGAGUCUCGCAGAAGACAUCAGAAUGCCUUUCUCUGAGUCACAGUCUGUAUCUUCUAGAAAAGGCUGUCCAUCUUCACCCCAAGCCCACUGGCUCCUGAGAUACGACAUCCAGACCCAGUGCAGCUGGACCUGGCCCAGGAAGAUCAUGCGGUUUCUGGGAAGCACUGGAGAAGGAAAAGGCUGAAGAAAGGAAGACCGG